GUAGGUGGCAAGCGUUGUCCGGAAUUAUUGGGCGUAAAGCGCGCGCAGGCGGUUCUUUAAGUCUGAUGUGAAAGCCCACGGCUCAACCGUGGAGGGUCAUUGGAAACUGGAGAACUUGAGUACAGAAGAGGAAAGCGGAAUUCCACGUGUAGCGGUGAAAUGCGUAGAGAUGUGGAGGAACACCAGUGGCGAAGGCGGCUUUCUGGUCUGUAACUGACGCUGAGGCGCGAAAGCGUGGGGAGCAAACAGGGAUUAGAUACCCUGGUAGUCCACGCCGUAAACGAUGAGUGCUAAGUGUUAGGGGGGGUUUCCGGCCCCCGUUAGUGCUGCAGCUAACGCAUUAAGCACUCCGCCGUGGGGAGUACGGCCGCAAGGCUG
rnacentral:rRNA from 1 species